AUAAAGGGUGCGCAGGCGGUUCGGUAAGUCAGCGGUGAAAUCCCACGGCUCAACCGUGGAAUUGCACUUGAUACUGCCGGACUUGAGAACGAACGGGGCAAGCGGAAUUCCAGGCGUAGCGGUGGAAUGCGUAGAUAUCUGGGAGAACGCCGAUGGCGAAGGCAGCUUGCUGGGUCGUUUCUGACGCUCAUGCACGAAAGCUAGGGGAGCAAACAGGAUUAGAUACCCUGGUAGUCCUAGCCGUAAACGAUGGGCACUAGGUUCCGGGAUUCCUGAUGAUUUCGGAGCCGUAGUUAACGCGUUAAGUGCCCCGCCUGGGGAGUAUGGUCGCAAGGCUAAAACUCAAAGGAAUUGACGGGGGCUCACACAAGCGGUGGAGCAUGUUGUUCAAUUCGAAGCAACGCGAAGAACCUUACCUGGGUUUGACAUGCUGGUAGUAGAAACCCGAAAGGGGGCCCACUGGUAUCCAGUCCAGAGCCAGCACAGGUGCUGCAUGGCUGUCGUCAGCUCGUGUCGUGAGACGUUGGGUUAAGUCCCGUAACGAGCGAAACCCUUGUCGUCUGUUGCUACCGGGUCAUGCCGGGCACUCUGACGAGACUGCCGGUGUCCCACCGGAGGAAGGUGGGGACGACGUCAAGUCAUCAUGGUCCUUACGCCCAGGGCUACAAACGUGCUACAAUGGCAGGUACAGAGAGACGCGAUGCCGCGAGGCGGAGCAAAUCUUCAAAACCUGCCCCAGUUCGGAUUGGAGGCUGCAAUUCGCCUCCAUGAAGGUGGAAUCGCUAGUAAUCGCGGAUCCCCCACGCCGCGGUGAANCGUUCCUGAGCAUUGUACACACCGCCCGUCAAGCCACCCAAGCUGGAA
rnacentral:rRNA from 1 species